rnacentral:rRNA from 1 species
CCUACGGGUGGCUGCAGUCGAGAAUCAUUCACAAUGGGGGAAACCCUGAUGGUGCGACGCCGCGUGGGGGAAUGAAGGUCUUCGGAUUGUAAACCCCUGUCAUGUGGGAGCAAAUUAAAAAGAUCGUACCACAAGAGGCAGAGACGGCUAACUCUGUGCCAGCAGCCGCGGUCAUACAGAGGUGUCAAGCGUUGUUCGGAAUCACUGGGCGUAAGGGGUGCGUAGGCUGUUUCGUAAGUCGUGUGUGAAAGGCGCGGGCUCAACCCGCGGACGGCACAUGAUACUGCGAGACUAGAGUAAUGGAGGGGGAACCGGAAUUCGCGGUGUAGCAGUGAAAUGCGUAGAUAUCGAGAGGAACACUAGUGGCGAAGGCGGGUUCCUGGACGUUAACUGACGCUGAGGCGCGAAGGCCAGGGGAGCGAAAGGGAUUAGAUACCCCAGUAGUC